GAUGUUAUCACUCUAUGAUUGUUAAAGAGAAGAACUGAUGCAUUCAGCCCCCAAGAGUCUAGAGUUGCGGUCCCAGACCAGAUUUUGAUGUGGGAACUCAGAGAGAGUUCCAGAUCGGACGGCCGUCCGAUUGACAUCGGACGGCGAGAUGCUCUUAUUGCGCCUAUGGCCGCCGGUUGCUUGUGUGGCCACGGCCACAGCUAGGGCAAUGAUCCAAUCUCGAAUGUCGUCUGCCUCUACGCCCACGGCCGUGGCGGUGGCGCGGCCGGCGGGGAGGUACGCCGUGUACGUCGCGGCCGUGCCGCUGAGGGCUCCUCAGGGUCCGGCCCAGGCCCUGAUGUCUUCGGCCUACUCGUUGGGUCUGUGGGACCUUCAGCACUUCAUGGUGCUCCUCCGGCCCGACCCUGCCCGAACCCCAACCCGAGCCCAGGAGCAGGAGCAGGAGCCGUCGUUGGUGUUCGAUUUCCAGCCUCGCCACCCGGAGGAUGCUCUCGCCGCCUUCUCCGUGCUCUCGCGGAGCAAAAUACCGGGGGUGGUUCGGAGGAGAAGGCUGCGGAGGAUCCCUGACAGGAGGAGCUGGUUCGUCGGCCUAAGCGACGGCGACGGCGACGCCGCCGACGCCGCCGAGAGGUUCAGCGAGCGCUGGCCGACCGACCUGGUUGUCGGGAACCACGACUGCCGAGACUACACCAACGGGCUGGUGGAGGUCUUGACAGGACAAAAACGUGUCCUCGACGCGCUGAGAUCAGCAGGCCGCCAAUGAGGCCGCGCCAUCGUGGGGUGGGCCGGACUGCUUUCUUCUUACCUUUCCUUCUUUCUGCUGCACUAGCGUUGUUUACUGAAUCUUGCUCCAGACAUCGUCUCAACAUAUUCGUGAUAUACAUACAUAUGCGUAAAUGGUAGUACCAUAUGGUUGAAAGAGACAGGCUUGGAUGAUUACGCCAGAUGGUUGAUAUAUCAGGAUUCCGACUGCUCUCGCCCAUCUGUGAAUUCUUCUAAUCCUAGACCAAGAAAACAUACUGUCUGCAACUACUAAUGAAACGCAUCAGCCUUCUCGGACAAAGGUGUGGCAUAAAUAAGAAAUGCACUUCGAGGAAUUCCUCGGCUGGAGCUUGAAGCAAAAGUAGGAAAAACCAAUCAAUGUAAUCAGGUGCUGGUUGCUGAGUGAGUAUCUGGUAAUUUGCUGUCAGUAGUUCUUUUACACAUAUUAAUUUGCUAUCAGUAGUAAGUGAAGCAAAAUGUUUACUAACAAAAUGGAGGAAGGAAUAUCCAGUAGCACUUGGAUUAUACUAGUAUAUGGCUUCAGCAAACAAACACAAGUUACUUC